UGUUGUCAGCUGUUCUGAGUUGCUUUCAGCAUGCUGAGUGUAGGU
rnacentral:miRNA from 1 species